UUGCAGGAACUGGGCUUGGCUAGUUUAGUGAAGAGAAGAACCAGGGAAGACAUGAUAGCAGUAUUCCAAUAUUUGAGGGGCUGCCACAGAGAGGAGGGGGUCAAGCUAUUUUCCAAAGAACCUGAAGGCCAGACAAGGAAUGAUGGAUGGAAACUGAACAAGGGGAGAUUCAACCUGGAAAUGAGAAAUUUUCUGACAAUGAGAACAAUCAACCAAUUGAACCGCUUGCCUUCAGAAGUUGUGGGAGCUUCAUCACUGGAAGCUUUCAAGAAGAGACUAGACUGUCAUCUGUCAAAAAUGGUGUAAGGUCUGCUUGGGCAGGGGGUUGGACUAGAUGACCUACAAAGUCCCUUCCAACUCCGUUAAUCUGUAUCUGUAUCUAAUAUAUAGGAACAAGUUGAAAGAUUACUUGUAGAUAUUUUUUCAUUCUUUUUAUUAAUCCUGCAUUUAAUAAGUAACAACAAUUAUUUAGACUGCAAUCAAUUCUAAUGUAAAUUUUUUUUUUCAAAGAAUAAAAAAAUUAACCAAAUGUCAGUCAAGGCACACGCCUUACAAAAUAUAAAGUGACAUUAAAGGUGAUAGGCUGAUAGGCACUCCUGCACAUCAGACUUCACGUGGUUUAACCUGUUAAACCUGUUUAACCUGGGAUUUAAUGAAGAUCAAGAUUUAUACUAGGGUGUUCUUCUAAGGAUUUAUGUUAUGCAUUGAGAAGGAAGGAUCUGUGGCUUUUAAAACAAUGAAUAUGGUUUGGAGGAUGGCAGAGGAGAAGUCCCCUGUAGGGUUGGAGGGCGAAGCUGAGGUGGAGGAGGUGGCAGAAGAAAGACCAGUGGCAGAGGCGGCACCUGAUGGCAUCGACCAGCCAGUGAUGGGACCCUGGUAGAGGGGGCCGCCUGUUGAGCCCUGGCUAUGUUCAACACAUGCAAGGGGGGGAGAGUGGGAGAAGUUUUCGGCAAUGGCUUGUGUCAGCUUGUGAUGAUGUCCAGAUGCCCAGGAAAGCCGCGCAACAGCAGGAAACACGAAACCCGGCAGCAAACAGCUGAUGGGGGGUUAGAUUAAAGUAUCGGAUGCUGGCUAAGCAGGGCCAAUAGAUAAAAAGCGCAGAGAGGCAGUCGCUCUCAACGCUGACUUUGAUCCAACCGCUCACUUUGUUCUGCCUUCAGCUGUGUGUGACAAAUAAAUCUCUGAGACCAGCCUUGUUUACAAGUAUUAAUUUGAAACCCCAUGGACCUGGAGUUGACAGGGCUGAAAUACAAUGUUAAACAGCUUUAAAAACUUCAAUACCUUAAAGCCUACAUUUAGGAUUUGUUAAAGGAAAUUACUGUAAUGUACUGUAAAGAAAUAUGAAAAUUAGAAGUCAGGUUUUUUUAAUCAAAUAUUCAAGGUUUUUUGUACAAGAAUUCUCCUCCAGUUAGGUAUGUUCUUCAUCCUCUCAUAAUAAUUUUUUUGUAAAGACUUGUUACAAAAAUUUCAUUUUAUCUGAUACACAUCACUAUAUUACUAUACUAUAUUAAUAUUACUAGAUUUACAGACUACUGUUGACUGCUUAAAAUACGUUAGCAAUAGCCUUUUUGGCAUUACUAGGAAACCAUGGGUAUGUUAAUUUUUACAAGUGAGAUUUCUUAUUUGUAAAUAAUUAAUACCUGUUUACUGAAAAGUAAACUGAAUCCAGUUAAGCAUGAAUUGGACUGUAGCCUAAGAAUGUUAUAUUGUUGCUGUGAAUGUGAAAAAAAAGUCCCAUUAAAAUUAGUGGCCUUUUUCUUAAAAAACACAACGAUGUUUAUACAAGGUAAAGAUGUUCUGGUCCAUGCUUAAAUGUUUGUUCCAAUAUUCCAAACAAGUUAAAAGACAUUAUAAAUAAUCUUGCAAUACUAUACAAAAUUUCUCAAGCUCAUUUUGUAGUGAAGUCAAUUAGAUUUACUUCUAAAUAAAUCAUAUAUAUAUAUAAAUCAUA